rnacentral:rRNA from 1 species
AGUGAACGCUGGCGGUAGGCCUAACACAUGCAAGUCGAACGGCAGCACAGUAAGAGCUUGCUCUUACGGGUGGCGAGUGGCGGACGGGUGAGGAAUACAUCGGAAUCUACUUUUUCGUGGGGGAUAACGUAGGGAAACUUACGCUAAUACCGCAUACGACCUACGGGUGAAAGCAGGGGAUCUUCGGACCUUGCGCGAUUGAAUGAGCCGAUGUCGGAUUAGCUAGUUGGCGGGGUAAAGGCCCACCAAGGCGACGAUCCGUAGCUGGUCUGAGAGGAUGAUCAGCCACACUGGAACUGAGACGCGGUCCAGACUCCUACGGGAGGCAGCAGUGGGGAAUAUUGGACAAUGGGCGCAAGCCUGAUCCAGCCACACCGCGUGGGUGAAGAAGGCCUUCGGGUUGUAAAGCCCUUUUGUUGGGAAAGAAAAGCAGCAGGUUAAUACCCCGCUGUUCUGACGGUACCCAAAGAAUAAGCACCGGCUAACUUCGU